CACUCUGGCGGGACUGCCAUCGACAAGAUGGAGGAAGGUGGGGAUGACGUCAAGUCAUCAUGGCCCUUAUGUCCAGGGCGACACACGUGCUACAAUGGUCGGCACAGCGGGAAGCGAGGCAGUGAUGCCGAGCGGAUCCCUUAAAGCCGGUCUCAGUUCGGAUUGAAGUCUGCAACUCGACUUCAUGAAGCUGGAAUCGCUAGUAAUCGCAGAUCAGCCAAGCUGCGGUGAAUACGUUCCCGGGCCUU
rnacentral:rRNA from 1 species